rnacentral:rRNA from 1 species
UACAGAGGGUGCGAGCGUUGUUCGGAAUUAUUGGGCGUAAAGGGCGCGUAGGCGGUGCGGUAAGUCACCUGUGAAAUCUCCUGGCUCAACUGGGAGCUUGCAGGCGAAACUGCCGUGCUGGAGUGUGGGAGAGGUGCGUGGAAUUCCCGGUGUAGCGGUGAAAUGCGCAGAUAUCAGGAGGAACACCGGUGGCGAAGGCGGAUCUCUGGGCCAUUACUGACGCUGAGGAGCGAAAGCGUGGGGAGCGAACAGG